AAUUGAAUUCGUUGAUUUCAUUUAAAUUAUUCACUACAUAUACUCAAAAUUCAAAUGAAUAAGAAUUAAAAUUAAACCCAAACAAAGUACGAAAAAUCAAUAAAUCAAACAAUUGGUUUUGACGGGGGUUCUCUUUUAAAAUCUAAAUGCAAUCUUUUAAAUAAAAAUGUGGACAUAAUUAUGAAAUUAAAAAGAUGUUUUUAAUCAUAAUAAAAAAAAAGGUAACAAAAACAAAAUGUACAUGCUUUUUUUAAUUUCAUAGCUUAUUUCGUGAAUUUCAAUGCGUUUAACUUUUUAUUACUAAUUUUAAAACUUAUAUUUUGUAUAUUUUAGAACAUCUUUGAUCAUUUUUCAAGAUACAUUAGGAUGUACCUAUCUUCCUCUUAUGUCAUUGUCUUAUAUUCAUAAAUUUUCGAUUACAUACCAGUCUGGGGACUUGAGAACAGUUUCAGACGAGCCAAGAUCUAAUUGCUGUUAAAUGUUUCGGAACUUUAUCCUGGUAAUACCGCCUAAACUUGUAUAUGCCCAGUUUUUCUUUAGUUUGCAGAAGGUUUUUAUUUAAUAUUUGAAAAUACAUUUAUAGCAUUAAUUCACGUUUCUCGAAAUAACAUCGUCGAUACACUAAAAUCGUUGGAAAUGUAUGAAAUUCUGUCCGCUUGUCCUUAUUAACGGAGUGAUUCCGCCCACAUUUUUGAAAAACGUUUUCCGACUCUAUAUAUGUAUAUACAUACAUAGGAGGUUCCCACUUAGGAAGUGGACGUCCAAUAACAAGGCGAUUUUGGCAGACAUCCAGACUGACCAUCUCCUUCAGGCUGAUUUUCUCGAAAUCGACGCAGAGAACAUGGCUAAAACUCUCGCCGUGCGGUGGAAGGCGACGUCUGAUGAGUUUUUCUUCAAUCCUCCAGAAUUGACCUCGGGGUCGUCGUUCUCAAAGCGUCAAGUCCUUUCCCAAAUUCCCAAGUUGUUCGAUCCAGCCGACUGGCUAGCCUCCUUCAUUGUCCAAGCAAAGACUUUUGGCUCCAGGAUCUAGGUUGAGACGAUGUCCUCCGUCAAGAAUUCUGCAAGAGAUUCAGUGGGGAACAAAAGUGAUUCCACGAUCAACGUUUUCAUUUUUGAGCUUACAUACAUAUUAAACGAGUAAUGUAAAUGACAAAAACUUUUUUUUUAUUGAACACCUUGCUUAUUUCUUACACUUAGGCGUAAAUAGCAAAAUAGAAAAAGGAGAAAUCGAAAAGUAAUAAUUCAAAAACAAAAACCAGCGGCAUGUACUUAGUUGUGCACCAUUUGAGAAAAAAUACAAAAUUCAUUAUUAAUAUUUUGUCCAGAGACCCUUUUUUUCUAUGACAUUUUUUAUACAUACUUUCAUACUUGGCAUACUUUCAAAUAAUUUUUCGAAUAUUCCUUUCGGAUUAUUAUUUUAUUUUUGUUCAAGACGCCUCCAAAAAUCGUCCAAGUUGGAUGGGGCUGACUGAUACUGUCCUAGCCGUCUCUUUACGAUUGACCAUAGGUUUUUAAUCGGGUCGAGGUCGACUCUCUGCGCUGGCCACUCCAUCAUCUAAUAAUUUUGUUUUCCGAGCCAUUCUUUAACAAUUUUCGCAGUGUGCUUGGGAUCCCCAUCUAGCUGAAAAGUGAUUUCCUGCUCUAGGUAGCCACACUACUCGAAAAAAUUGGGAAGAUGGGUUUGCAAAAUGCUCAAAUAGUGUUCCUUUCGCAUAAUCCCGUCAAUUUUGUACAACGGUCCAACGUGCGAGUACGUGAAACACCCCCAUGCCAUUAUGUUGCCGGCUCCAUGUUUCACAGUUUGUUUCACACGAUGCCUUUGAAGCGUGUUACCAGGUCUCCGUCAACAGUUUUGCUUUCUAUCCGAUUGAUAACGAUUAAACUUAGAUUCGUCCGACCAAAUGACACGUUUACAGUCUUCUAUUGUCCAGUUCUUGUGUUCCUUUGCAAAUUAAAGCCGAGUCCUAACAUUUUUCUUGAAUAAAGCUGGUUUGUUUUUUUUCACUGCUGCAACGUACCCAGUCCUACCAAGCGCUCCAUCGACUCACGCCUUUAUUUAUUUCUGUAGUUGCACAAAA